ACACGACAGCAGCUGAAGAGGAUCUCUGUGAGUGACAAAGGAAGAAGAACAUAGAGGAAGAGGGGAAAAGCAGGGCAGCGGUGAGUAGAGUAGAUAAGGAUAAAUGACUAAAGGAGAAACAUCUGAAUAAUUUCACAUUAUUCCUUUAACUUUAGUUAGUUUUGAAGAGCAGCCCAGCGUGUCCAGCUCAGGUCACUGUGACAAGUCCAGUGUGAUUCUUUGGCUGUAUCCCAAUUCAGGGUCUGCAGCCUUAAAGGCCGCAUUUCAAGGCCGAUUACGUCACAGCGACGCAACGAAGGCUGUCCCAAUUCAAAGGCUGCUCAAAAUGUGGCCCUCAAAUGCGUCCUUCAUUUCCCUGAAUUUUAAGGCUGUGGCGGUGUAGACUUCGUGGCCCAACAUAUCCCACAAUUCAUAGCGCGGCAGUCGGUGUGGAUAAUGGACUACUUGGACAAUCACUUCCACGUUCUAUGUAGUCCUGCCCCAGUGCUUCCGGUAUGGUUAAACCAUGGCAACGUUCUACACUCGCUGCCUACAAGAGCUCCCAAAAUUGAACAUCACUGAUGUUCAUCGGAUUUGCAGAGUGACGACAACCCCAGCCAGCAAAUUAGAUAAAGGAUUUAAGUUAUACGCUGCAUCAUAUAUACACAACUACGUAGAUUAAGCUUCUGGAUUCAUCGCCGGUGGUACUGACACAUAGCCAGUGCUCCUGUGUGGCAGGUGCUGUUAUGUGCAAUCACACAGUGGCACUGCUCUUCCAAACAGCACACUACUCACAACUCAGAGUGCCGGUUGUCCCCCUGUGCAUAGCUGCACCGAAUCUGAACAGCAAUGGCACAAGCCACGGACAGUGGUAAUUUAAAUAAGGUUAAAGUUUUUGAAUUAGACCAUGUUUACAUAUGAACAGCAACACCAUCCAUAGUAAAUGUGUCUUCUGUUAGGGUGUGAAGCCAGGACCCAUCAACUCCAUGAUCUUCACUAAGCCGGUACCAAAUAGGAUGGCCCAGACUGGAGUACGGUAAUUAGAUUUGUAAAAUUUGGUUUCCUGUGUUACAAAUGCAUAUUGCUAUUUGUUCAUACAUACAUGUGUCAGAAUAGGUAUUAAUUUACAUACAACAUUACACUUUCUGAAGACGGCUAACUCA
rnacentral:lncRNA from 1 species